AGGAAAGGAAUCGCCCAAUCACCAAGUGUUUGUUAGGUUCCUACUGUGUGCUGAGUCCGUGAAACAGACUCUGCCUUCCUGGAGAGCUUCCUGUCUAGGAGGGGAGAAGAGAGGAGCGGGGAGACAGGCAUUUGGAAGUGAGGUCUUCAGCAGAAAGGAUGGGUGGCAUUCUGAAAAGGUUUGAGCCAAGAUAGCAGAGGAAAGGCUGUGACUCUUCUUGCUCCCAACAAACCUGUCCACACACUCCAAAAAUAAACUCGGCUCAUGGACCAGUGAGGGGGCCUAGCAGUUGGCCAGGGGAAAUAGCUGUGGUCUCUGCUGAAGCUAAGGUAGACCACCCAUAUUCUGAACCAGUAAG